GCACCUAGCUCAGUUGGUAGAGCAUGAGACUCUUAAUCUCAAGGUCAUGGGUUCGAACCCAGCGUUGGACA